rnacentral:rRNA from 1 species
CCUACGGGUGGCAGCAGUUGGGAAUCUUGGACAAUGGGGGAAACCCUGAUCCAGCCAUGCCGCGUGAGUGAUGAAGGCCUUCGGGUUGUAAAGCUCUUUUACCCGGGAAGAUAAUGACUGUACCGGGAGAAUAAGCUCCGGCUAACUUCGUGCCAGCAGCCGCGGUAAUACGAAGGGGGCUAGCGUUGUUCGGAAUUACUGGGCGUAAAGCGCGCGCAGGCGGCUUCUCAAGUCAGUGGUGAAAGCCCGGAGCUCAACUCCGGAAAUGCCAUUGAAACUGUGAAGCUUGAGGACGAGAGAGGUGAGUGGAAUUCCCAGUGUAGAGGUGAAAUUCGUAGAUAUUGGGAAGAACACCGGUGGCGAAGGCGGCUCACUGGCUCGUUUCUGACGCUCAGGCGCGACAGCGUGGGGAUCAAACAGGAUUAGAUACCCUAGUAGUC